UACGUAGGGUGCGAGCGUUGUCCGGAAUUAUUGGGCGUAAAGAGCUCGUAGGCGGUUUGUCGCGUCUGCUGUGAAAACCUAAGGCUCAACCUUGGGCUUGCAGUGGGUACGGGCAGACUAGAGUGCGGUAGGGGUGACUGGAAUUCCUGGUGUGGCGGUGGAAUGCGCAGAUAUCAGGAGGAACACCGAUGGCGAAGGCAGGUCACUGGGCCGCAACUGACGCUGAGGAGCGAAAGCAUGGGGAGCGAACAGG
rnacentral:rRNA from 1 species